rnacentral:hammerhead_ribozyme from 2 species
AAACGAAACCGACAGCAGUACACACUGGUGGCGGUCGUCAAAGCAUGGCGGCUUUGGCCUGAUGAGUAGCCAAAU